GAGUAAUAUUCCAGGACUUUGAAGAUACAUGGAAAGUCAACAGGAGAUGUUGCCUCUUCUUUGCCACUGCUGUCACCACACUACCAUUCACCUGAAAAAUGUUACUACUGUAGUGAUUUACAAGACAGCUGCCAGAAGAAUCUAUGACAGAAAAUAGGUGAACAGGAAUGAUUUUCUUACUGAUCCUUUUCAUUUUCGCUACCAGAGCAGUUGCUUGAUGCAGAAGAGACCAUGACCCACUGCACCUUCAUCAUCUCUCUGCCAGAGGAUACUCCCUGGUUACAUUCUUAUUCAGAAGCAGAAUUACUGGAAGGAUAAAAAGAGGAGAAAAAAGAUAUGAGUGUAUCAAAGAAGCUUGCGAGGCAUGGGGCUGAAUGGCUUGAUGGAAGCUGGAGUGCUCACCUCUGCCACAGUUCUGGGACAUCCACCUCUCAGACAGCAGAUCUUCUUCACCAUCACAGUGAGAUCCUUUCACGCCUCCAUGUUACAUCUUGACAGCUUCACUACUUCCAGUCUGCAAGGCAUAAAUAGGCACUUUUACCUGGAGUCCACUGUAAGGACUAACAUAAAGUAGAAAUGGAGAGACUGAAAU
rnacentral:lncRNA from 1 species